rnacentral:rRNA from 1 species
AGCCUUAAAUCUUGAUGUUCCCCAAACAUAAACAUCCGCCCGAGAACUACGAGCACAAACGCUUAAAACUCUAAGGACUUGGCGGUGCCCUAAACCCACCUAGAGGAGCCUGUUCUAUAAUCGAUAACCCACGAUCCACCCGACCACUUCUUGCCAAAACAGCCUACAUACCGCCGUCUCCAGCCCACCUCUAUGAGAGCACAACAGUGAGCCCAACAGCCCACACUCCGCUAAUAAGACAGGUCAAGGUAUAGCCCAUGAAGUGGAAGAAAUGGGCUACAUUCUCUAAGAUAGAGCACCCAACGAAAAGAGGCCUGAAACCUACCUCAAGAAGGCGGAUUUAGCAGUAAAGUGGGACAAUCAAGCCCCCUUUAAGCCGGUCCUAGGGCA